UCAACGGACUAUAAUAGAUGGAGAUAGAUCGGCGGCAGCUAGGAGAGAUAUACCCAAUUCCGUUGACCAUCCAGCAAGCCUUUUGCUUGUUCGAGGACCUGACUAUAAACUUCUGUUUUUGUCAAGCCAGGCGCGAAAUACGACGAAUCUGCGUGCGGCUACGUGUAUUUGUUGUCUCCGUUAGAUAAGGGGUUUCCAAACCUCGAAGGCCUUCAGGCUAGGUGUGGCAUACCAUGUUUACGAUGGUUAGGAUGGCAACACGAGAAAGGGACAAUAAUGGAAUUUAUAUUGGAGGACUGUGAUAUUACAAUAGGUGUAUACAGCAGGAAUGAUGAGUGAGGAUGCGG
rnacentral:sRNA from 1 species